UACGUAGGGGGCAAGCGUUGUCCGGAAUCAUUGGGCGUAAAGAGCGCGUAGGCGGCCCUGUAAGUCCGCUGUGAAAGUCAAGGGCUCAACCCUUGAAUGCCGGUGGAUACUGCAGGGCUAGAGUCCGGAAGAGGCGAGUGGAAUUCCUGGUGUAGCGGUGAAAUGCGCAGAUAUCAGGAGGAACACCGAUGGCGAAGGCAGCUCGCUGGGACGGUACUGACGCUGAGGCGCGAAAGCGUGGGGAGCGAACAGGAU
rnacentral:rRNA from 1 species